rnacentral:lncRNA from 1 species
CACAUGCAGCUUAACCGAAAAGGGUAUUUCCUCCCUUCAGAGAAAGCUCCCUAGUCUGGCGCGGGGUGCUUUUUACUUUACGUUGUUGCAAGUAGAAGUUCCUUCAGUCUCCUCCCCUGGGGUAAGUGGAAAGGAGUCCAGCAGCGGUGGACACCCGGCGAUCGGAUAGCAGCGGAGUUAGAGACAACUUGGGGGCUGCCGGGCAGAAGCAGGUAGGCCAUUUUUAAUUGAAGGAAGCUGCCUCUGCGUGGGAGUGGCAGGAGGAGUAAGAAAACCACAUGGAAGACUCCCAGGAUUUAAAUGAACAAUCAGUAA